rnacentral:lncRNA from 1 species
CUAUUGAUAGAGUUUGGAGGAUGGAUAACGUGCUUCCAACAUCAACACUGAAACCACAAAAAGACUUAUGCUUGUCAUUUGCAUUGUUCAAGUUGUUGCGGUGCCGAUUUGCAAGGUACAAGGUCAGAACUGCUGCCUCCAAGGGCACCUUCAGUUUUUUCUGGAGCUUAUUGCUGAAGGAUGGCGAACAUGAUAGGGUCUUUUUGGUCAUUUCGGAUGAGGUUUCUUUCCUUCAUGAUUAUUAUUAUUCAUCCCUCCCGAUCUCCUAUUCCAAGCAUUGGUUGCCCGUUGCCGGUAUCUUGAUCUCACUACUGAGCAUAGCUUACUGUUGUGCAUCGAUGAUCACAGUAACGCUUGUGGUAGUCCAACUGUUGCUGGAUGUUGGAUUCGGACCUCAGUCGUUUGCAUGCUAUUUUUUUUGCAUUCGAGGAAAACUGAGGAGCGACAUGUACAUCCAAGGUUAUGGGAAUGGGUACCUUGGUCCGGUGCUAUUAAUUUUGCUUUCGGUGUUAGUCUUGAUGUCUGAGGUGAGGGACAUAGCUACCUACAUCUACUCCAACUGGACUAAAGUUGCCGUCACCUGCCACCUUGUAAACCAUGCCUCUUCGCAGCAUUCACUUCUCAAGAAGAAAUGGAUUGGCCUUCUGCUGCGUUGUCGAUGCAAGCUGAUGAAGCAUUGGGAUGAGAAAAUAGGCCAGUGCACUAUGCUGGAGAUUCGCCCGAGAACAACCCUGCCUGUACUUCUCAGGCGUCUCCUCCACUUACCAGACCACAAGAGGAAGGUCAAGGUGCCUGCAGCAGUGAAGGUUUGCAUCAUGGAAGUUGUAAGAAGCACUAGAAAUGGAGACCUUAGCAAUGGCACAGCAUCUCUCCGCUGCCGGGGCCAAGUUGGUGAAGUGCUCCUCUGGGCUUGCAACAACAAGAGUACGUCUUAUACCAUACUGACAUGGCACAUCGCCACAAGCAUCCUCGAGGUCAGGUACCCACACCGGCUUGAUCAACAACAAGGUUCUUCUUCUCCAAUUCCGAACACGGACUAUAAGAUCGUUGCCACUCACCUAUCAAGGUACUGUGCUUACCUUGUGACAUGGUGCCCUGAGUUACUCCCUGAUGAUGAUGCAUGGAGCAGGAGCCUGUACGAGGAUGUCAAGAAGGAUGUUGAGCGUGUACUUGCCGGCUGCACAGCAGGAGACUCACUGACGCCAGAAGCAAAUUGCCAACAGCUGAUCGAAGUGCUGAGUGCAGAUGCGAAGCAUGAAGUGCUCAAGGAAGGCGCUAGGCUUGGAAAGCAGUUGUUGGCGCUGGUGGUCGAAGGUGAGGACGAUACAGCGGCGUGGAAGUUACUGGCUGAAUUUUGGUCGGAGAUGAUCGUGUAUGUCGCGCCAUCCGACAACCUCAAAGGUCAUUCGGAGGCCAUCGCCAGGGGUGGCGAGCUGAUAACUCUGCUCUGGGUGUUGCUCUUCCAUGCUGGGAUCCUUAGUAGGCCAGGUGAGGACGAUGGCGUUGCUCCUACUUCUGCUGGCGUGGUUUAGUAGAGUCUCCUAUGUUUGGAACUACUGUUUCCUCCUUGUUUCGGAUUCUUCAUCGUUGAGUUCAUUUCAUAUACCAGAAUUUGUUAACUUGUGGCAGCAUGUGACUCCAUCUUGGUAAUCAGAUGAUCAAUUGUAACAAGUCUAUUUAGAGGUCCUAUAAUAUUGUCGAGACUCGAUAUUCAGAUGUAAUGUUAAAUAUUUCUACGUAUUGUAUUGUGAUGAAUAUAUAUGUUUCAAUUUGGUAUUGUAAUGAAGUGCUAGUAUAUUACACUAUUACUAAUUGGAGGUUCCUAAAUCCUCGCGAUGUGCUCUAGAAAAAUAGAUAAAUCUUAUAAAUUCCCACAAAAUUAAAAUUAGAAACAUCCAACCGUCAAUCCAGUAGACUCUAAUCGUAAUAGCCAUCGGAUCUAUUAUGUUAUCGAAAAACAUAAUCACAUCCCUCAUUAUAAUAAUAGCCUCAUUAUAAUAAUAGUAUAAAGUAACUCCUAAUUCUAUAUCGAAAUUUCCCACCUCUAGCAUAGGUGGGUAAUUUAUAUGGUUGGCAUCAUAACGAUACAUCCAGUUUGUAGCUGUGAAUCUAUUGAGCCGGUUAUGAUGCUGGAACACAACCAGUGGUAGAAGAUGGAACAAAUUUAGGAGUACGGAAUAAAUUUAAGGUCUGACAAAAUCAAAAAUUGAAAGUAACCAAAAAGAUAUCCUUUUCAUUAAUAGCACGAAACAGUGAAGGACGGAAUAAAUUGCAACCUCGAUGAUCAAACAUUUAGGAGAUAAUAGCUGCAGGUCAAGAGAUGAUCAAACAUUUAGGAAACAACACAUGAAAUGCACAGCCACCGAUUGACCAAAACAAAAAGGAAAUUAAAAUGAAUGCCUAAUGAUUUGAUUUCAAAUAAAAAAUGCUAAAAAUGAAAAUUUGCAAUUUGUACCUCUCAAUUCAGCCUUGCCCUUGCCCUUACCCUUGGACUCCAUUUUAGCCUGUGCACUUCGGAUUCCCUGCGUUGUACGCUGCUUCUUGUAACACCAAUGGUGUUUACUAUAAAUUAAACCUUACUUAAGCACUAAUGAGGAGAAAUAAAAAGGAAAAGAGAAAAGAAAAGGAGAAAUACAGAAAAGAAGACUUGGUCAAACAAGGUUGAAUUAGAGACUUGACUAAGUCAACCAUGGUCAAAUUAAGUCAAAAAGGUGAAUUUGGAUCAAUUGUGACAAAUGGAGUGGAUUAAAUUCAAAUCCAGUUUGAAUUUUUAAAUUUAAACUUGAUUUGGAAAGAGGAGUCAAAUGUGGUCAAGUACCCAUGUUUGAGUGCUGUUUCAAAAGGAUUUUAUAUAACAACUUUGGAAAAUAUUCUACUAAGAGUUUGAGUAUAAUGUGUAUAGAACAAUUUGGACUUGAUGUGGUUCACAGAAAAUGGAAUUUGGGUAAUUUAAUUGAGGCUCAAAGUUUGAACUAUGUGCUGUUUGGAGACUUAGGCAGAUUCUCAAUUCAGUGUCUGUAACUGAAACUCAUAUUCAGUUCAUAAUCAAAUCUUCAGAACUCUUAAUCUCUCAAACCGUGGAUCCUUUGAACAAAGUUCAUAUCUAUCAUUUGUAUACCUAUGUUACAUCUACAUUUUUGUUUAUUGGUGCUUGAAGAGAUUGUGUUUGGUUCGGAUGAAUUUAUCUUAAGAAAUAAGGAAUGUUUCUGUGUACCGAAGCCAAAACAUACAACGGUAAGGGUGCCUUUGGUUGGACUUUCCAACCUACUUUUGCAAGUCAAAAGCCAACCAAAGGACCUAAAAACCACAUAUAGUUUAGGUUAAAAGCUGCUUUUGCUCUAGGGUGUGUUUGAUUGGGCUGUGGCUUUUGGAAAAGCUGUUGUGAGCUGUAGGCUGUAGAAAAGCAGUUGUGAGAAAGUAGCUGUGGGAAAAGCAGACUGUGAAACUGUAGGUUGUGUAAGAAAUACAUAUAAUGUCCCUAAAGGUUUGAGGGUCUGUUUAUAUGCAAAUUGUUCGUAACAAAAUAUUGUGUUUACUAAUUUGCAUGUAAAUGAGUACUUUAGAAAGAAAAAAAAUAAAAUUUAUAUGUUCUUCAUCCAUCAAAGUAAUUGGUCCACAUAAAUAGAACAAUAUUCAUCAAAAGACUUAUACAAUGAUGCUAUCCCUCAACAUUACUGUCCUCUUCUCACACUAACCAAAGCAUCAGCUAUCGUAGUACGAAUGGUAUUCAUGGUAUCAUUCUCCACACGUUUCUCAUCUUCGGAGUCUUCGGAUAUGACUAUUUAUUGACGAAAUAUUUUUUAUUUCCAUAACCAUAUCCAUUAGUGGGUCCCAAUUAUCAUUGUUGGUGCCUAUCGUUUCUUUUUUUCUUUUUGCUUCGACUGUAUCUUCUAGCAUUGGACGAGCAUCGUCUCCCAAGCUUAGUCCCAGGAUGGAGAGGAGCUUGAGCUUGCCUGGGCCAUAGCCGCCCAAUGUGAGCUUUGCCUGCGCCAUGGCUGCCCAGCUCGAGCUUGCCAACGCCAUGGCCGCCCAGCUUGAAGACGAAGUACAACACCUUGGUGCACAGUAGGAAGUUGCGCUCGACGGUGAAGACGAUGAGCGUGACGAGCCACUAGCUGAGAAGGUGGCCGGAGAAGGUGGCCGGAGAAGAUGGCGGUGACCAUGACACAACACUUCUAGAUCUCCAGCCCCAACAGGAUGCGCCCCCCGCAGGGGCCGCACGACGACGCUGACGACGAGCAGCGCGAGGACGAGGACGAGCACGGAGAGCUCAAGGCCGAGGCGCGCCUGGCGGUGGCACCGUGCCGCGAAGGCGGGUCUCCGGGAGCCGUCCCUGUUGCGGAAGAGGUCCUCCUUGUGGUCGGCAAUCCAUCCGAGCUACAAUCCAUCGUCAGCAAUGCAUCAUUAAGAAAAAUGGUAUCUGGAAAAGAUAUGGGUAGUUUAUUGUCAGUGCAGAAGAUCUGAGCUACAAGGUUUAGAGGAAGGCAGGUCUCGUAGUGCCGCUGUUGUAGAUAGGUCUAUUUUACAUCGCUAUUGGCUUCUUCAUUGUUAUUGAGGUUAUUGCUGGGUUACAAUCUAUGGUUCUGGUUUUUGUCGGACCAGCUACAGUAAGAUUGCAUCGACUUCUUUCAGUGUACCGAUCAUAAGAUCUAGUAAAAUUCACUUGAAAUUACACGCAAAUCGGCAAAUGUUCUGUAUUUUGUCAAAGAAGAAAAAGGAAGUUGUGUUACAGGAUAACGACUAUAAUUUUACUGGGGCAAGAAAUUAGACAUGCCGAAUUUUUACCACAUAUUGUUUGCACAUUUCAUUGCCAAAAAAAGGCAUUGAUCAGCCCCAUCUAAACGUUUUAAAUAAAUGAAUGCAACACAUAGCGUUCAUCUGAUACUGUUGUAAUAUGUAUCUGCCAUCUUCUAAAUCUCAACUAAAAACUUACAUCCCUAGUCAUUGCAAUAGCAACCUGUCUCUAUCAUCCUCAGUGCAUCAAGUAACAGACAUCAGGAAUGCACCACCACUCGCUAUCAUCUUAGCCGUAUGAUUCUAAAUUUCUAAUUAAUUACUCCCUCUGUCCCAAAAGACUAUUCGUUUAGUCUCCAAAACUUGUCCUAUAAAGAGUGUUUUAUAACUUUCAGACCAUCCAACAAAGGCCUUCAUAAAACCUUCUGGCCCAGUGAACGAAUCGAUCAAUUACUCCCAUCAUCGAUGCCCGAUCCAGACUCGCUAAAUAAGGAAGGCUAAUAGGUUCGACAAUUACUAUAAGCGUGCAUGCAUAAUUAAUUAUACUUGGCAAUCCAUCCGAUUAAGAAGAAUUAUUAGAGGUACUUUGAACUUCUAGUAUUUCUACUAUCUUGUCUAAAAUUUUUUAAACGUCUUUGUGGGACGGAGCGAGUAGGCGCCUCUAGUUGUUGAAUUAUAUUUGUUUAUGAAAAAAGGCAAUCACCCAGCAUAUAGUGCCUACAUUUAUUUCUUACAGUGACAAAUAUUAUUUGCAUCACACAGCCUUUUAAUUUUCUGAUUCAUUCACCAAUUAUUAACCACUGUGCACGAACCGCCUAAUAACCCGGAUCAGCUCGUCCGAGGCCUCCCCGCACGGCUCCGUGACGAAGAAGGCGUGCCCCUGCCCCUCGAACACGACGAGCUCGACCUCCUUGCCGGCCGCCCUCAGCCUCGCGACGUACUCCCCGACGCGGUCGUGGAGCACGUCCUGGUCGGGAUCGAGGACGAGCACCGGCGGGAAGUCGCCGCCGAGGUCGCCGAACGGGACGCUCCCCGGCGCGAGCGGGUUCGCGAUCGGGUGGUCCUUGGUGGCGCCCGCCGGCAGCGCCAGGCGCCACAACUGGUCGAACAGCGCCAUGCCCAUGGGCUCGCCGGGCUGGGACGCCGCCUCGGACGGCGUCAGCUCCUCGCCGCCGAAGUAGGGCCAGAGCAUCACGCAGCCGGCGAGCCGGAGCGGGGUGAGUGGGAGCUCCCCGGACCCGUGGCGCACAGAGAUGUGGUGCGCAAUGUUGCCGCCGGCCGAGUCGCCGGUGACGAACACCCGGCGGAAGUCGGCCGACUCGGCGAGCCACAGGUCGGCGCCGGCGCCGGACGCGGCGGCGGUGGCCUGGGAGCGGAGCCAGGAGAAGACGGACUCGGCGUCGUCGAGCGCGGCGGGCAGGCGGUGCUCGGGCGCGAGGCGGUAGUCGGCGGAGAGCACGACGGCGGGCAGCUCGGCGGCGAGGCGGAGCGCGCCGGCGUGGAAGUUGAUCACCUCGAAGCUGGCGACGCAGAAGCCGCCGCCGUGGAAGUACACGAGCACCGGCAGCUUCUUCUCCUCCAACCCGCCGCCAGCGCCGGCGGUGGAGAGCCGGUACAUGCGGAGCCGGAGGCCGUGCGCGCCGUCGUAGACGACGUCCUUCCACUCCACGGGCAGGUCCGGCGGCGGCACGCCGCCCACGAGCGGGAAUACCGAGUAGUCCGUGGACCGCCUCACCGUGCCGUCGCUGAGCAGCUGGACGAGGCCGAGGCAGUCCUCGACGACAUGUGGCGCUGCCGCCGAGCUUGCUGGAACGGCCGACGACAUGACAAGUUGGCUACUGAACAGCGAACACAGGAGUGUGACCGAGCAAGUCACGAAGCUUUACGGCCGAUAAAUAGCCAGGCAUGGUCGCAAGGAUGCCCUGGCCUUUUAUUUCGUUGACUUGGACUGACUACCGGACCCACCGGUAAGCGACACUAGGCUAGUCAGAGAGCCGUGCGUCGAUCAGCCGCCGUGGACUUCUCCUACCCGCGAAGUGAGAUUUUCCACGCGUGACAAGCACAAUCCGUGCCACGGAGGAUGACACGUCACUGUCUCCACGUGUCGAAUGCUCGUCGGUCACUGCAACGAAGAUAAGCUCGGAGUGAGCAGUGGCCACUGUUGGUCAAAGCGUUCCCAUCAGAUCACGGCGGCCGUGUGCAGUUGGCAGUUGCUUGUCUGAUCAUGUGACCAUGUCUAGUUCCAACCUGGGUGUUGCUCUUCCAUGCUGGGAUCCUCGGUAGGCCAGGUGAGGACGACGGCGUUGCUCCUACUUCUGCUGGCAUGGUUUAAGUAGAGUCUCCGUUAGGAACUACUGUUUCCUCCUUGUUUCGGAUUCAUCAUCUAGAAAAAAUAGAUAAAUCUUAUAAAUUCCCACAAAAUUAAAAUCCGAAACAUCCAACCGCCAAUCCAAUAAACUCUUAUCAUAAUAGCUAUUGGAUCUAUUAUGUUUACUAAAAAAUUAAUCACAUCCCUCCUUAUAAUAAUGGUAUAAAGUAACUCCUAAUUCUAUAUCGAAAUUACCCACCUCUAGCAUAGGUGGGUAAUUUAUAUGAUUGGCAUCAUAACAACACAUCCAGUUUGUAGUUGUAAAUCCAUUGAGCUGGUUAUAAUGCUGGAACACAACUAGUGGUGGAGGAUGGAACAAAUUUAGGAGUAUGGAAUAAAUUUAAGGUCUGACGAAAUAAAAAAUUGAAAGUAACCAAAAAGAUAUCCUUUUCAUUGUAAUAGCACGAAACAGUGAAGGACGGAAUAAAUUGCAAGCACGAUGAUCAAACAUUUUGUUGGCGCUAAAAGUCAGCCGAUUGACUCUUAGCGUCGGACACACGACCCGGGAGAAUCUAUUUAGCUCCUGUUCGGGUGAUCGCUCUGGUGCGGUUCGCGCGGCUUGCCAGCCAAUCUGACCUGUUGAUUGGCAAGGAAGGAAACGUGUCAAAUUCCAGGGGUUCUGAUCGGCUAAGGUUCCGAUCUCGAGGAAGCGUAUCAGCGAAUCGGCCGAUUUGCUAUGAAAAGACAAUCGGCUAUGAUACAGCCGACGAUCGUGUAGCAAUUGCGAAGAAAACUAUUUGAGUAAACUAGACAAAGCUACGAAAGCAACACUUGAAAUAGAUCUAAUCGGCUAUAUGAUAAUGAUGAAUGAAAAUAACAAUAACAAAGCCGACAAUUCAAAUCUCAAGCUGGAUAAUUGGUGAUAAAACUAGAACAAUAGAUAAAACCUAUAAUUCUAGUAAAUAUCGAUAACUGGUGAAUAAAUCUAAACGAAACGACAGCGAUGCGCCCGAAGUUAAAGCUUAGAUAUUACUCGAUAAGCGGAACUUACAGAAUCGGCCGGAGAUUGUGUCGAUGCAGCUCUGCCAACCUGCACGAACUCGUGAAAGAAGAAAUGUAUUGGCGAAGUCGCCGACUUGAAAGUAAAGUGCGAUGAAAAAGUAGAUUUGUUUGUAUUGAUUGAUGUGUUGUUUACAAAUCUCUAAAAGUGGCUAUUUAUAGCCUGUUACAACCAACUUCCUAACUGACUAGUAUCUAUCUCUAAUCUUAAACAAAAACGAAUAUUUACAAACACAACUCGUAUCGGAGUUGGUUAUUAUACUCCUGCGGACCAAUCUUUCUCUAUCUUCUUUCUCUGAUCCACUUUAAGCCCAUAUUGGCCCAAUCGCUCCAGCCUUCCAGUCGGCCGAUCUCUACCAACUCCGCCCGCCAAAAUACUGUAGCGUCAAUCAGCCGAUCCCCAACUGUAGCACCAAUUGGCCGAUUCCCAAUUGUGACCUUUUAAUCUGCUGCAUCGGCCAGUCCUUUCCUUCCUUGACGCCGAUUCCAUACGUGUCAAAAUCUGGCGUCAACACAUUUAUAAUAAGAGAUGAUCAAACAUUUAGGAAACAACACACGAAAGUGCGCAACCACCGAUUGACCAAACGGAAAAAAAUUUAAAAUGAACGCCUAAUGAUUUGAUUUCAAAUAAAAAAAAUGCUAAAAAUGAAAAUUUGCAAUCUGUUCCUCUCAAUUUAGCCUUGCCCUUGCCCUUCGACUCCAUUUUAGCCUAUGCACUUCUGAUUCCCUGCGCUGUACGUUCUUCUGUUGCCGGCCGGCCGACGGUGCACUUCGGCACCCGUACGUCGCACUGUCGCAUCUCGCCGGGCGCACCGUCGCAGCAUGACCUCGGGCCUCGACGUCGCCCGUGACCCGUGAUCGGCAAAGCGCUAAGGGUUGCGACGAGCACAAGCGCUAGGUCUCUCGUGUGGAUUUUGGGCUGCUAGUGUUUUGGGCCAUUACGCACCAGGGCAAAAAAAACAAACAAAUCAAUUGGCCCAAUGCAAAGAACACUCGGCCUUGUAACGGUUGGCAGCCUGACGUUUCCUUUCUUCUUCCUGGACCUUUUACAUUCAAUCAGUUCGUCGCUCAUACAGGCAGCCAUGACGUCCUGUGUGUAGUAGAUGCAGCAACGGAAGGGGAAUGCCAUACUGGGCACAACUGAUUCUUGAGCAACUGGGAGUGACAUGCAGUUCUGCAACAGUUCAAAUUAAAGGAACUGCAAAUAAAUGGAUGUAAAUGAAGGCAGAGAAAGAAGAAAAAGGAUCGAAUCAAAGAGAAAAAGGAAAACCCACAUGCUAUUGCUAGAAUCAAGAUCAUGGCACACAGAUGCAGCCAAAGGGUCCGAUCGAUCUGAAAAGGAGAAGGGAACUGCGUGGUGGCAUGAUCGCCCCCACAGCCCCACCUUCCAGGUGGCGAUGACAGUUUUGUGUCUCGCUCAGUCUGCGAAAGAUUAAUUGCAGCGAUCUGGGCACUAAGUAAAGAACAAGGAAACAAUUUAUCGACAAGCUAAUUUAUCGAUCAUCCUGUGACUCGUGUUUUUGUAUGUGUGAUUAGUUUUUUUUUCCUUUGUGGACAAGCUGAUUUAUCGAUCAUCCUGUGAAGAAUUCCAUUUUUCUCGAUUCAAAAGCUCAGAUGGAUUAUCUUGUUGAGUUCCGACUGUUUCCGUAUUCUCUCCAUGACUCCAAAGAGCAACAAAACCCACCACCAUAUUAACAACCAAAUAAAAACGCGUUCCGUAGAACAUACGCUUCUGUCGGUGAAACCGAAGAUGAAAGGACGAAGGAAGACGAGCAAAAAAGGAAAAGCUUUGUUUUGUGCUUUUGAGUCCCCCACCGUCAUGCAUUUGUUCCAAUUUUAUUAUAGUUUUGGUGCUGAGAAUGAUGUAAAAACUUUGUUGUGUGCGGUUGCAGAGGUUGGAAACAAUUUCCUUUUUCUAAAAUAAAAAAAUGCAUUUGCACACAGGACUCCUUUUUAGCUACGUGUUCUUUUUUUAUUUGCUUCUUUAAAACUUACCAUUGGCGGAGAAGUGGAAAUAUUAACGUGGCCUUAUUCUAACAAGCAAAUUAAUUAAGUUAACUGAACAAUCAAAUUAAUUAAGCUAAAGAAGUGACCAUGUGCGUGCAUUUCGUCUAUCUACAACGGAUCUUUUGACUUGAAACAAAAAUACCUAAAGGCAGUCAAGGUACCUUUUGGCAAGGAGACUAUCAUCAUUGCCAUAACAGAAAAUAUUUUAGGCUUAAUCUAGAUGCCCUAGGCAGUAAUAAAAGGCAGUAAUAAGGAGAUUACUUUACUAUUACUAAUUGGAUAUUCAUUUCAAAGGCCGUUAUAAAAAAAAAGUAAAUCCAAAAAAUACUCAUAAAAAUAAAAAAUAUCUGAGACCAUAUGGUAUACCCUAAUCAUUAAUGGUGGAUCCACAGAUUGUAUUGUAUGGAGCCCGAGCAGAGACUAAGACAUUUCCCUUGCUGUCUCCGGCAAACGAUGUUCCAACUAUGGAUUAAAACAACUAUCCUCUUGCAGAUGUGGCGCUGGAACCCGAGUAGCCUUGGGCCACCCCUGGUAAUCAUCAUUGAUAAAAGUAGACAUUCAAUAAUAUAUUAUGUUUUGUUUAAUAAUUACACACAUCUAUCGUUAAUUGCACUUCUAACUUUAUGACUACGACGGGCACAGCUUUGGAAAAGAAAGGAACAUAUUCGCGAGCAACCAUAUAAUAAGGAGGUAUUUUCUUCCACUAACUUAUUUUUAGCACGUGUCACAUCGAAUGUUUAGAUAUUAAUUAGGAGUAUUAAACGUAGACUAUUUACAAAACCCAUUACAUAAUACAAAACUGAACGGUAAGAGGGAUCGAUUAAGGCUAAUUAAGCCUAAUUAAUCCCAUCAUUAUCAAAUGAUUACUGUAGCAACACGAUUGUCAAAUCAUGGACUAAUUAGGCUUAAUAGAUUCAUCUCGCUGUUUAGAUUCGUCUUGUGUAAUGGGUUUUGUAAAUAGUCUACGUUUAAUACUCCUAAUUAGUAUCUAAACAUUCGAUGUGACGGUUGCUAAAAAUAAGUCAGUGGAAGAAAACGGGGCCUAAGCAUCAAAAGCAAAGAUAGGGAGCAGGAAAAAGCAAGCGCAUUCAGAAAAAAAAAAACAUAUGGAGGAAACCCAACGUACUUGGGAAGAUGAAACUGCAGGAUUGAGCACUAACCAUCCAUAAGCAAACACAUUAUUCCGAGAGCGGGCAGGCAGCCGUAUCGAACUGGCGUCAGUCAACUAGAUCUCCGCCUUACGGUAAAAUAUUUCUGUGCAUUUCUGUGUUCUGUUUAGAAUUUAGCAGAGAUUGCAUGAUGCUAGCAAGCAGUGAUACUGAUCCCAUAUGUUGAACACCUUAUAUGCCUUAGUUUCCAUUCCAGUGUGAUUAGUUCCUUAAUUUGUGUGCUUGUACCAACAACUUGCUCUAAUCUUGACAUAUGUGAAUUAAAUCAGCUGGCCCAUGGCUGGAAGGAAUUACACCAUAGACGACUGCGUCUACGCUGCACUGGGCAAAUGCUCCGCUAGGAUUACAUGCGAGGCUGAUAUGGCGUCCUCAUUCCACAAGAGCUUGGGAGAGAACAUAUGGCUUAUGAACUCACUCCUGCUCACCAGUGCCGUCCUGGCUGGAGUCAUAGCAGGGAUAGGCAUCUACGGCCAGCGCUACCGCCACCACCGCUACACCAGGUUUAUCUUCCUCGGAGCCACGACCCUAUUCUUGCCUGUCGUCUCCACUGUUGUCUCCAUGCGCACCGGGAACAGUGACCACAGCAUACAUAGGCAUGAUGAGGCCACUCAUUUGAUUGCAGACUGCGGCCCAAAAGGACUAUCGGUCCUGAUUCUAAUAUGGGCAUCCCUUGUUCAGAUCAUCAUGAUCAAUACCAGUGCAGUAGUUGCUGUCGAUGAUAGAGAAGGUGGAAACGUAGGUCCUCCAUUUGAGCUGCUUGUUCAGGGUGUCUGGAUCUUUUACCUUGGUAUCAGCAAUGUCAUUCCCGCCGCUCGCACAAAUGACAUCACGGUACUAAUUAUUGGUGCCUUUGAAGCCACACCUUUUGCUCUCACGUUUGCCAAAAUGGUAUUGAAAUAUUAUGCAUAUGAAAAGGCGCGACAAUCCUUUGGUCUCGGACGCAAUCCCCAUCUUAUUUUUGGAUACAUGAAGCAACAAUCGUUACAAGAAACAAGUCACGAUGGUGAACCAAUGGUAGCUGAGGAUGCACCUCCCCCGCUGCUGGUUAUGGGAGAAGAGAAAAGACACGUGGAGAAGCAGCCUCUUGGGUAUGUGUUCAAGGAUGACUCAUGGACAACUUCGCAUAAUAAUGGCCUGGUGACUAUUGAUAGAGUUUGGAGGAUGGAUAACGUGCUUCCAACAUCAACACUGAAACCAAAAAGACUUAUGCUUGUCAUUUGCACUGUUCAAGUUGUUGCGGUGCCGAUUUGCAAGGUACAAGGUCAGAACUGCUGCCUCUAAGGGCACCUUCAGUUUUUUCUGGAGCUUAUUGCUGAAGGAUGGCGAACAUGAUAGGGUGUUUUUGGUCAUUUCGGAUGAGCUUUCUUUCCUUCAUGAUUAUUAUUAUUCAUCCCUCCCGAUCUCCUAUUCCAAGUAUUGGUUGCCCGUUGCCGG